GGUGGGCAGGGCUCCCAGGGCUCGGCUCGGGCUUCCUUUGCGGACCGUUUCCUGGCGGCUCCGGCGAUGCGCCUUCCUGCCGACCCUCUGCCCCGCGGCUCCCGUGUCCUUUCGUGUCCUCGUGGUGGUUGCACAGAAACUGCAGAAGUGUUCUGGGUGGUCCCAUGCACCCCCCACCCCCGCCUCUGUGUUUGAUGUGGGACCCGCUGCUGCAGAGCCAGGGAUGCGCUCCUGCUUGUACCCUGUGGGCCGCACUCUUGCCUCUGUUCUUUGCCAUGGACCCCUCUCUUCCUGGGGGCGUUCGAGUUCUCAGAUUCCUUGGAGAGGCGCAUCCGUGUGUCAUUUGUCUUUGGAAGACAUUCACUGUGAUGAAUCUGUGGCUUUAUUCCAGAUGCAGUCCCAUCGUUCUACUGGAUGAUUUUGUUGUCAAACAAGAUAAAAUCUCCCCUAAAAACA